GGCUGCAGUCACCCCCUGGCUCAGCUGGAAGAGGACCCACUUCCAAGAUCACUCACGUGGUGUUGGCAGCUCUCAGGUCCUCCCUGGCUGUCAUCUGGGGAUUUCAGCUCCCUGCCACUUGGAGCUCACCGCAUAGCAAGCCAACAAGAGCGUGAACAAGACAGAAGUCACAGUCUUCUUAUACCCUAAUCUUAUAAGUAAGGAGGGCUUGGCAAAGUCAGGAAACUUACUGGAGAUCACACGGUAAAAGGAAGAGCUGAGAUCUAAACCCAGGGCUGUCUGCCUCCACAGCCCACUCUGUCACCACCGAGGUGAUUGCUCUCCUGGAGCCCAGGAUCUCCUCUGUAAUGGGGAAUACCACCUUGGAUUCACAUGUCACCCGAGAUUAAGGACCAUGGCUGCGGAGCAUCUGUUGUUUGCAGCCCAGCAUUUAUAGCCCCUCCUCUGAGCGACAGUUUAUCAGAUUUCCUGGGGGAAACCUCCCUCCCUGUUUCAGCCAGGUGAUUUGUGUGGGGCUGACCAGUGCCCAGCUUCAGCUGUGGAGCCUAAACUAACCGGCACCCUCUCCCUCCAUUCUCCCAGUCACAGUGAUUGGCUCAGGGCUGACAUGUGACUUAGGCCGACUCAACCAGACUGAACCUUGGGGCUCUGGCUGGAAAUGAUGCAUCCUGGCCUUUCUCCCCUAGUGGACCUGUAGCCUCCUGGGAUACUGGAAGCCACCCAGGACCGGUGGGGUGAGGUUUAUGGAGGGAGAGCCUGGCCAGCAAUGGAGCCAUUGAAGAAGAAAUGGGGAGAAAGUAACAGUCUCCUGGUCCCAAUUAUUUGAGCCCCUAGAUCAGCAUUGCCUGAAACCAGAGCUACCUGGAGACCUGUCAGUUAUGUGGACAAUAAAAAUCCACUUUAUAUUGAAGCCA